UACGAGGGGUGCAAGCGUUGCUCGGAAUUAUUGGGCGUAAAGGGUAGGUAGGUGGUCUGAUUUGUCAGGGGUGAAAGCCUUGGGCUUAACCCAAGAAGUGCCCCUGAAACGGUCAGACUGGAGUCUUGGAGAGGGUCGUGGAAUUCCCGGUGUAGCGGUGAAAUGCGUAGAGAUCAGGAAGAACACCCGUGGCGAAGGCGGCCCACUGGGCCGGUGCUGACGCUGAGGCGCGAAGGCGUGGGGAGCGAACGGG
rnacentral:rRNA from 1 species